CCCCUCUCAGAAUCGCCCCUGGAGAGUUUUCAGUACUCUACCAGUCUCAGCUAUCAGAGGGAGAGUCAAACAGAGGCAUAACCGUUCCAUUCCUAGCUUGGGUAGUGGCUAGCAAGUGGAAGGCAAUCCAUUACAAGU